rnacentral:rRNA from 1 species
UGGCUCAGAACGAACGCUGGCGGCAGGCCUAACACAUGCAAGUCGAGCGCGCCCUUCGGGGUGAGCGGCGGACGGGUUAGUAACGCGUGGGAACGUACCCUUUGGUAGGGAAUAGCCACUGGAAACGGUGAGUAAUACCCUAUGAGCCCUUCGGGGGAAAGAUUUAUCGCCAAAGGAUCGGCCCGCGUUAGAUUAGGUAGUUGGUGGGGUAAUGGCCUACCAAGCCUACGAUCUAUAGCUGGUUUUAGAGGAUGAUCAGCAACACUGGGACUGAGACACGGCCCAGACUCCUACGGGAGGCAGCAGUGGGGAAUCUUGGACAAUGGGGGCAACCCUGAAUCCAGCCAUGCCGCGUGAGUGAAGAAGGCCUUAGGGUCGUAAAGCUCUUUCGCCUGUGAAGAUAAUGACGGUAGCAGGUAAAGAAACCCCGGCUAACUCCGUGCCAGCAGCCGC